GGUUUGGUUAGUGCCUCGUAGAGCCUCCACCGAGUCGUCGCCAUCUUACUUUUGGAAGCUUCUCUCAUCAUAUAUAACAUUUAUCUCACUUUAGGCCGUCAAUGUGUUUGCCAUAGGCACUUCUGGCUUGUACCUGAUAAAGAAGUCUCACACGGGAAAGGAAGAAGCCGAAUGGAGCUCCCACUUCGGGUCUGCUGCUUGUUAGCUGUGCACCCUUGGUUUUUUAGGACUGGGCUUUGAAAUGUCUUCACUUCUGGAAGGCUCUUCCCCACUGACCCCACCCAGGACUUCCGCUCAUAGGAUGGCACUACCUGUAUUAAGGGCACAUCUUUCCUCCUCAGCCCAUGCUGGCCUCAGACACACCACCUUUCUGCCUCAGUCUCCUGAGUACUGAGGUCAUACUGCGUACCGUUGAGUACAGGGGUAAGGAAGAGCUCCCGGUGGGGAACGUCCCUCUGGAAGAUGGCGCAGAAGAGUGAGGGGAAAGUCUGUAGAGUGGCGUGAGGUCAGCAACAGCAGCCUCCACGGCAGGGCAAGCAAGAAGCCGAGACACCAAGGGCACGCUGAGGAGGCAGCGGUGAACUUCAAAUUCAGCAGCUACCUGGUGGCUUAAACGGACACUCCCUAAACCUUCUUCUCCUCACGACACUUUUUGCUAGAGAAAUUAUUUUCUUAUUACAUUUAUUUAUUU
rnacentral:lncRNA from 1 species